CGUGUAGGCGGCCAACUAAGUCGGACGUGAAAUCCCUCGGCUUAACCGGGGAACUGCGUCCGAUACUGGAUGGCUCGAGUGUGGGAGAGGGAUGCGGAAUUCCAGGUGUAGCGGUGAAAUGCGUAGAUAUCUGGAGGAACACCGGUGGCGAAGGCGGCAUCCUGGACCACGACUGACGCUGAGGAGCGAAAGCCAGGGGAGCAAACG
rnacentral:rRNA from 1 species